UACGUAGGGGGCAAGCGUUAUCCGGAAUCAUUGGGCGUAAAGCGCGUGUAGGCGGUUCCGUAAGUCCGCUCUGAAAGCCCAGGGCUCAACCCUGGGGGGCGGGUGGAUACUACGGAACUGGAGUACGGAAGAGGAGAUUGGAAUUCCUGGUGUAGCGGUGAAAUGCGCAGAUAUCAGGAGGAACACCAACAGCGAAGGCAGAUCUCUGGGACGUUACUGACGCUGAGACGCGAAAGCGUGGGGAGCAAACAGG
rnacentral:rRNA from 1 species